GCUGGCGGCGUGCCUAAUACAUGCAAGUCGAGCGGACAGAUGGGAGCUUGCUCCCUGAUGUUAGCGGCGGACGGGUGAGUAACACGUGGGUAACCUGCCUGUAAGACUGGGAUAACUCCGGGAAACCGGGGCUAAUACCGGAUGGUUGUCUGAACCGCAUGGUUCAGACAUAAAAGGUGGCUUCGGCUACCACUUACAGAUGGACCCGCGGCGCAUUAGCUAGUUGGUGAGGUAACGGCUCACCAAGGCGACGAUGCGUAGCCGACCUGAGAGGGUGAUCGGCCACACUGGGACUGAGACACGGCCCAGACUCCUACGGGAGGCAGCAGUAGGGAAUCUUCCGCAAUGGACGAAAGUCUGACGGAGCAACGCCGCGUGAGUGAUGAAGGUUUUCGGAUCGUAAAGCUCUGUUGUUAGGGAAGAACAAGUGCCGUUCAAAUAGGGCGGCACCUUGACGGUACCUAACCAGAAAGCCACGGCUAACUACGUGCCAGCAGCCGCGGUAAUACGUAGGUGGCAAGCGUUGUCCGGAAUUAUUGGGCGUAAAGGGCUCGCAGGCGGUUUCUUAAGUCUGAUGUGAAAGCCCCCGGCUCAACCGGGGAGGGUCAUUGGAAACUGGGGAACUUGAGUGCAGAAGAGGAGAGUGGAAUUCCACGUGUAGCGGUGAAAUGCGUAGAGAUGUGGAGGAACACCAGUGGCGAAGGCGACUCUCUGGUCUGUAACUGACGCUGAGGAGCGAAAGCGUGGGGAGCGAACAGGAUUAGAUACCCUGGUAGUCCACGCCGUAAACGAUGAGUGCUAAGUGUUAGGGGGUUUCCGCCCCUUAGUGCUGCAGCUAACGCA
rnacentral:rRNA from 2 species